GGAUGAACGCUGGCGGCGUGCUUAACACAUGCAAGUCGAACGGAAAGGCYMCUGCUUGCASKGGUACUCGAGUGGCGAACGGGUGAGUAACACGUGGGUGAUCUGCCCUGUACUUCGGGAUAAGCUUGGGAAACUGGGUCUAAUACCGGAUAGGACAACUUUUUGGAUAUUGUUGUGGAAAGCUUUUGCGGUAUGGGAUGAGCUCGCGGCCUAUCAGCUUGUUGGUGGGGUAAUGGCCUACCAAGGCGUCGACGGGUAGCCGGCCUGAGAGGGUGUACGGCCACAUUGGGACUGAGAUACGGCCCAGACUCCUACGGGAGGCAGCAGUGGGGAAUAUUGCACAAUGGGCGCAAGCCUGAUGCAGCGACGCCGCGUGGGGGAUGAAGGCCUUCGGGUUGUAAACUCCUUUCGCUAGGGACGAAGCRUUUUUGUGACGGUACCUGGAGAAGAAGCACCGGCUAACUACGU
rnacentral:rRNA from 1 species